UACGUAGGGGGCAAGCGUUGUCCGGAAUUAUUGGGCGUAAAGAGCUCGUAGGCGGUCUGUUGCGUCCGCUGUGAAAACUCGGGGCUUAACCCCGAGCCUGCAGUGGAUACGGGCAGACUAGAGGUAGGUAGGGGAGAAUGGAAUUCCCGGUGUGAGGCGGUGAAAUGCGCAGAUAUCGGGAAGGAACACCGGUGGCGAAGGCGGUUCUGCUGGGCCCUUACCUG
rnacentral:rRNA from 1 species